rnacentral:tRNA from 1 species
AUUGCAGGUUUCAAACCUGUAGGGGCUUGACGGCCCAGUGGUUCAACUCCACCU